rnacentral:lncRNA from 1 species
ACGACUUGAAUGAGCCCCAUUUGGAGCUCAGAAGUCGUCAAAAACACUAGUCCUGUUCAGUUGUAGGAGGUGGGACUAGGGGUGUUAACUGACGACAAAUGACCUGGAGCACAGCUGAUCCCCCCUCCUCCAAGACCAUCGAUCUCAACAGAACUGCUGAAGCCCAGGCUGAAGUGCAACAAGUGUUCUCAUAUCCUAUGUCCCUGUUGCCAAGUAAAUUGGGAAAAUGAAAACUGAUGCUGAGUGAUAAGGCCUGGUCCCCCAGUGUAAGUACUGUACCAGUUCAUGUCAGGUUUUCCACCUGCCAAAGCCACAAGUUUAGCUUAUUUGGCAUUUUGAGUUACAGUAGAUCUUCUGAGUGUCAGUGAGGCUUUGUCACACAGCGUCUCUUCAGCAACAGACAUGUGACAUCGCUAACAUCAGAGAUUAAGAACAUGUUCAAAUAAACAUCAACAUGACUGACA